GGGGCCUUAGCUCAGUUGGGAGAGCGCUUGACUGGCAGUCAAGAGGUCAUCGGUUCGAUCCCGUUAGGCUCCA
rnacentral:tRNA from 2 species